rnacentral:misc_RNA from 1 species
UGUAUUUCCCUCAAAACAAACAAAUCAUUAAUAAAAAUGUAAAAUUCUUACGGAACCAAUAUUCCAUUACAAGGACUGAUUAUUGAUCCAAUAAUCAUACGGCUGAGAACCAAUCAAUUUGACGGGAUUAUUCUUCGGCGUCCGCCACAAGCGUCAGUGGGGAGAGCAUUGAGAGUGAAACACCGUGAGACUUCUCAUCUCGCCAUCUCGGUUUAAAACCAGGGCGUCCGUCCGUACAAUCUAGGGUCUCAGACCAUCGAUCAGCCAUGUACAGAACUGCAGCUUCACGCCUUGGGGUUCUCAAGGGCCAUAGAAUCAGUAGGUUGCCUUCAAGAUUUACAAGUUCAAGUGCUGCUUCCUUGCAAUCAUCCUCUUUGGGUGGUCUCUUCAGCUGGCUAACUGGUGAAAAGUCCAAGUCUUUGCCUUCUCUGGAAUUCCCCCUUCCAGGAGUUGAACUCCCACCCACAUUGCCUGAUUAUGUUGAACCUGGAAAAACCAAGAUUACGACACUCUCAAAUGGCGUGAAAAUUGCCUCUGAAAUAUCACUGAAUCCUGCAGCAUCAGUAGGGUUGUAUGUUAACUGUGGUUCAAUAUACGAGUCUCCAGCCUCAUUGGGGAUCACACAUUUACUGGAGCGGAUGGCAUUCAAAAGCACAAGAAACCGCAGCCAUUUGCGUAUUGUGCGUGAAGUUGAGGCAAUUGGGGGCAAUGUGCAAGCCUCAGCAUCUAGGGAGCAGAUGGGAUACACCUAUGAUGCUUUAAAGACCUAUAUUCCAGAGAUGGUAGAAUUGCUUAUUGAUUGUGUGAGGAAUCCUGUCUUCCUUGAUUGGGAGGUCAAUGAACAGCUUCAGAAGGUCAAAGCAGAGAUUAGUGAAGCUUCUGCCAAUCCUCAAGGAUUGCUUAUGGAAGCAAUUCAUUCUGCUGGGUUUUCUGGUCCAUUAGCUAAUCCUCUUUUGGCACCUGAAUCUGCAAUAAGUAGAUUGAAUGGUACAAUCUUGGAGGAAUUUGUAGCAGAAAAUUUUACUGCUUCUCGGAUGGUGCUUGCGGCUUCUGGUGUUGAACAUCAGGAACUGGUGUCCAUUGCGGAGCCCCUUUUAGCUGACCUACCUGAAGCUAGUAAUACUGGAGUGCCCAAAUCUGUUUACACAGGAGGUGAUUUUCGCUGUCAAGCAGAUUCAGGGGACCAAAGAAUCCAUUUUGCUCUCGCAUUUGAAUUUCCUCAUGGUUGGUCUGAUGACUCCAAUGCCAUGUCCUUGACUGUUCUUCAGGUUCAAAAUUUGAUUACUCUAUUAGUUCUGGUUGCCAUUGUUGAUGGAUUGCUUCUAUUCUAUUUGUACUGUGAUUUUGCAUCCAAUUUUUCAUAUUCAUAGGCAACAAUAAAUUAUAAGACAAAUUGUACUAUAGAUGCUGAUGGGCGGAGGUGGAUCCUUUUCAACUGGUGGCCCUGGAAAAGGAAUGUACUCAAGGCUAUAUCUUCGAGUCCUGAAUGAAUAUCCACAAAUUCAAUCCUUUACAGCAUUCAGCAACAUUUAUGAUCGUACUGGCAUAUUUGGUAUCCAAGCCACCACUAGUUCUGAUUUUGCAUCAAAAGCCAUAGAUGUAGCAGUUAAUGAGCUAAUUGCAGUUGCUUCACCUGGUGCAGUUGACCCAGUACAGCUAGAUCGUGCAAAACAGUCAACAAAGUCUGCAAUUUUGAUGAAUUUGGAAUCUAGAGUACGUUAUUGUUUUCUUUUAUUUAUUGGUAUCAAGUAUACAUUUGAGCAGUAGUGGUGUGGGAUUAUUAUUGUGCAUCAAGGUUUCCUUGAGUCUUAGUUGCUUAUGUUUAAGGUGUAUCUUGCAGAUGAUUGCUUCAGAAGAUAUAGGUAGACAGAUUUUGACAUAUGGCGAGAGGUAUGGCCCGAGUCUUGACCAUCUGCAUUGAUGGUGACUUAAGCACAUCUUUUGAUAAAUUGGCUACACAUCACUUCCUCUGUCUAUUUCUCUGCAUUUAUUUUGUAUCUUGUUGCUUGCAGUCAUUGGCUUCUCAUUUAUCCUAGAAUCUAUGCUAUAGUCCAAAUUAUUCUUUACUAACCAAGUUUUCUAUGGACAUGCUCUUUCCCUGCUUUGCCAUGCUGAAUGUGGACAAUGCAAAGGUUGAAUAUUGAGGCGUUGCUUUGAAGUUCAAUUCAUGAAUGGCUAUGUCACUGAUUCUGAUCUUGUAAUGAAUGAUUUAUUUUAUAUGAUACUAAAAAUAAGAAUGAAAGAAAGAACAAAAGAAAGUUUUUUCUUUUUCCUUGUGACAUUGUGAGCCAAUUAGCUCUUUUGAGUUUCCUAAGAGAGAGUUCUAACCUCCUGUGGUAUUUUCCUGUUGCGUGAGCUUCACUAUCUUGGUCUUUCAAUGUUUACAUUGCAGUUUAUGAUGUCUUUGCUAACAGCUAUCAUCUAUCAACCCUUUCCCCUCUUUUGUGGAUGAUCUGGAAAACUAAUUAAUUUUCCACUGGGCCUUGGCUUGAUUAAAAAUUUUGAUUAUCUUAUCACUGCUUAUUCUUGCUUGCAUGUUUGCCUUUUUUUGGUUUCUCAUCUUGUUGCGUGAUCUUUUCUUUAAUAAAAAUGUUUGUGAUGUAGGAAACCUUUGGAGCAUUUCUUGAAGAUUGUAGAUUCAAUUACAUUGCAAGAUAUUACUAAAAUUGCGCAAAAGCUGAUUUCUUCCCCUCUCACAAUGGCAUCAUACGGAGAUGUUAUCAAUGUCCCAACCUAUGAUUCAGUCAGCUGCAAGUUCAAGUUGAAAUGAAAAAGAUUUUUUUUGUUUUUGCCUACAAACUGGGCUGUCUAUAUUGAUGUGCAUCAGCAAAACUGAAAAAGUUUUUUUUACAGCAAGCUUCAGUUGAAAUAAGGAAAUCUCAGACAUCCCACCUUAAUAAAUUGGUGAUCCUUGGCAGGCAACAUUAUGUGAUGGUGGCAAUUUGGCACAAUAGGUUUUGCUUCCUUAUUCGAUGGUGUAUUUUAUGUUUAACAGUCGCUGAAAAUGAUAAUUAUAUUCUUUUGUAGUUUACCAAUUGGCUAAAGCAAAUUGGAACCUCAUUAAUUGGUUAUUCACUACCCCAAAGCCAUUCUUCAUUAAACUUAAUGGCCAUUCGGCUAUGCUAUUUUAAUAAAACCUCUAAUAGCAUAUGAUGGCUGUUGAUUGCAAUUUGUGUUCAACUUGCCAUUUGAUGGUGCUGCUGCCACUCGCUUUCUGGCAGCUUGUGUAUGAUUCUGAUUAGUGUAAGAGGGAAUCCCCCGCCCCCGCUUUCUGCUUAAUGAUCAUGACUCAUUGGGUUUGCCUGGACGAAAUUAAUGCGCUU